GGAAUCUGCCUGGUAGGGGGGGACGAACGUUUCGAAAGGAACGCUAAUACCGCAUACGUCCUACGGGAGAAAGCAGGGACCUUCGGGCCUUGCGCUAUCAGAUGAGCCUAGGUCGGAUUAGCUAGUUGGUGAGGUAAUGGCUCACCAAGGCGACGAUCCGUAACUGGUCUGAGAGGAUGAUCAGUCACACUGGAACUGAGACACGGUCCAGACUCCUACGGGAGGCAGCAGGC
rnacentral:rRNA from 1 species